GGAUCCAGGGUGACUGAUGGACUAGUGCGGGAGUGUUGGAGAGAACAGUGCCAAGAGGACUGACAGGGGAAGGGGGUCCCUGUGGAAGGUGUGCACCCCUCAGCAAUGUGUGUGUGUGGGAGGAAGGCAGGUUGUCUGUGCCAGGGUGUCUCUCUGAGGAUGGCUAAGCCCCUCUGAGUGAACUUCUUGAGGGAUCGCUUGGUGUCCUGGCUUCUCUGCCCAGAAAGAGGGGCCGGGUCUUGGGGCUGAAUGCAGUCCGAGUAUUAACUGGGUCCUUGAGACCAAGGACCCUCGUAACCUGGACUGGUCAUCAGGCUGACUACGCCAGCACAGUUCUGGGUAGGUUGGCGCUGGGGUGGGGAGGGUCCUGGCAGGUGGCGGGGGGGCAAGUGGAGGGCCCUCCUUGUUGGCUGGUCUAAGGGGGACAGGACAUGCCUAUGCCUCUCUGGACUCCAUGGUGGGAGUCAGGACAUGAGUGACCCCAUUCAGUAGCUCGACUCCCUCAAAGGAGUCAGGGACGGUCCCCCUUCCCUACCAUGGGGCACAGAAAAGGCAGAGAGGGGAGAGUGUUGGGGAGGAUUAUGGGGCACAGGGAUGUUGCCAGGGCCCAUCACUCGGGGGAAAAAUAAGACAGAAAAUUAAGGAAACACAAGGAGUCCACGCGUCUCUGCGUUCCAAACCCCUGCACCCAAUUCCCAACAAUAACAGGGCACUCUGAGACCUGGCAGAUGUACACAAUGAAUAUCUUUAUUUCCUUAUUUAUUUUUAGGUUUAUGGGAUUUUCCUGCACCCUUUGAAGAGCAGGGAUCAUUAUCCCCAUUUUACAGAUGGGCAAACAGAGGCCUGGAGAAACAUAAGGAUUCAGCCAAGGCAGCUGGGGCCUGAGGUGGGAUACCCGGUACCCAGGCUGUCAGUCCAGAGUGGUCCAAAGAGAGGUCUCGGUGAUCCUGUGGAUUACUAGACCGACUCACAAACAAGAAGCAUGGAAGGUCAGGGUGGGUGGGAGGGAAAACAGGUGAGACCAUGAAUAGAGAAAGCAGAAAGGUGGUGGCUUUAUUAAACUGAAGGACAGGCUUGGGAUGUAACUGGGUUCUGGAUGUGGGCUAAUGUUAGAGCUGGGGUUAAGUUUGGGGUUAGUUGAAUUAUGAAUGAGGCUGAGGUCAGAUUUGAGGUUGGGAUUAGAGCUAAGGCUGGGAUUCGGGUUAGAAAUACAGCCAGAAUUGAGGCUAAGGUUUAUGGCUGGGAUUUGUGUUAUGAUGAGGAAUAGAGUUUUAGUUUCAUUGACAGCUCUGCCUGGGGAUACAGUUAGAGCUAACUCAAAGGCUGGGUUUAGAUUGAUUUAGGAUUGGGGUGACCAUUGGGUUGGAACUGAGCUUGAGACUCACGUUGAAAUAGGCUAUGGUUAGGGUUGUAAACGGUUUAAAGACAUGUAAGCAGCGGGAGUUGAUGAGAAUCGAAGAUGAGGUUUUAUUUCUGAUAUGGACAGACUUCAGCCUCCAUCUGCUCCAUCCAGGUUUGGCUAGAAUUUUCGCGCCUUAGUGUGGGGAGACUACCAGUGGCACUUGUUGACUGGGGUCUCAAGACUUUGAGGAGGAAGCCAAAGGUACAGGAGCCCAUCUAAGGGGUAUGAGACCACCAAAUCCCAUAGCACGGGGACCCUCUGAAGUCCUGCUCCACUACCAAGCUCACCAGCUGGCCAAGCUCCAGGAAAAGCAUUUGGGGAGGAGACGCAGGAAGCUAUUGACCAUGAAUGGGGUUCUGACACCAAACUGAACUAGAAGAUCCAUCAGAGGGAGUCUUACUGGGUGGGGAGGAGGGAUGGUCUGCAUUGGAGUCCUUAGGAGACGGGAGUUGGGAGAAACUAAGGGCCCACAUGCUUCUAGAACAGCUCCUUUAUGGAGCACCACAUGGGGGUCCUUCAAAGCCUGAAAGGGCAGAGUGCCAUUUUGUUCCCCUUGACCUUCUGAGGCUUAAUUGCUACCUCCUUGCAAUUUGAAUCCUGUAAAAGAAGCUGUCAGCCUUCCAGCCCUAUGCCCUGAGCCCUGCAGGGUUUUCAGAGCGGGCAGCAGUGGGGAGGCUGUGGAUGGAAUGAAGGCACUGGGGUGUCAGCAUAGUUUCCAUAGCACAUGUCGCGAUCCCGCGGUCCCCUCUCUCUGGGAGCAGCCACAGUCUGUGAUUCUCUCUGGGCCUUAACCUCAGCAGUGGAAGAGGGCCCCACUCCUAGGAAGACCCCAUCCCAACUCCUCCCUCUCAUUUUUCCCAACCCAGUCUCCACCCCAAACACCUCACUUCCCCACCCACUUCCUUUUCAGGUUUUAUAAAGGUCUGGAUCUAGGAGACUACUGGGGUUCCCUCUGUGGCCCCAGAGAGAGAGAAGAAAGAUUGGGAGAGAGUGAUGCGUUAUAGGGCAGAGACAGAGACAGAAACACACGUGGUCUAAACAGCCCCUCCAGAGGCUCAGAGGGAGACAGAGGAGGCAGAGGGCCCAGGCCAUGAGCUGAGUCCCAACACCAAUUUCCAAAAGGGCCCUUUGCUUUUUCCUGGGAAAUCCGUGACUCUCCAGGGAAGAACAGCCCUGGUUGGGGUGGUAUCAGCUUCUAUUCUAAGACAUUCACAGAAAAUCAAACACAGUCCUAGAAAGGAGUAAACAGGGAGAUACAGGAGGUAGAAAGAGGCUGGACAGAAACCCAGGGAAGUCCAGAGACUGCUUCCAGGAUGAGUGCAGCCCAGCCCCAGAACAUUUUUGGGAAGGGCAGGCAGAGGGCUUGGCCUGCCUACUCUUCCUCCAAAGUUCCUUUCACGGCAACUCCACCCAACUCCCCUAAGCCGUGCCCUCCUCUGCCUGGACCUGCCCACCCCAACCCCUCUCAGGGGCCGCCAGACUCCCUGGGCUCAGGCUCAGUCAAGCUCCCCACAACCCCUAGCUUGGCUGGCACUGCAACUUGACUUUCUAGGCUCCUCCCCACACAGUCAGCAAGCUCCUCAGCCCCUCUCCCAAGUCCCCAUGCAGCCCAGGACUCGCCCUGCAGCACGCAGGGAGGAGUUGUCCUGCAGAGGAAACCUCUGAGGCAAGACCCUGGGAGCAGCAGCAGUGAGACACUAUGGAUAGGCAAAGUCACAGAGAAGCCAAGGAGCCUUGCAGCUGCUGUCUGUCCACCCGGCUUUCAGCGACGAUUUGGAGGUGGAGGUCUGCCAGACUUGAGCAAGAAUGAAGAGACUCUGAAGAUAAAGGUGUCUUCACCUCGCCAAGAUCAGCCACAUCCUGCAGACCCUCCAUUCAUUCAGUAAGCAGCCAGGCAUUAUGCUAGGUCCUGGGGAAAUGGCAAUUAAGGAGACUCAGUCUCUGUUCUUACAGAGAACCCCAUUUGAUGGGGAAAUGGUUCCUGGCCUGCAAUGUGGUAAGCUGCAGUAAAACGUGGGAGGCCGCUGGCCUCGUGGCAAUGAUGUGUAAGCGGAGAUCUGAAGGAUAACUAAAACGGCGUGCCAGAGAAAAGAGUAGGGGGUGGAGCGAAGUGGCCAGGGGAAUAUUUCUGGGCUCGGUAGUAAGCCAGGUCCCUGCCAGACACGGACUGAGAAGAGCAAAGCCAGGAGUGACCGCUGAUGAUUAUUCUUUAACUGAGGAAGGAAGAUCCUUGAGAACAGAACCUCUUGGGACCUUCUACUGAGAACACCAGAGCACCUCACAGGGAUCAGAGCCAGGCCCGUGGGUGGAUUAAGCAACCAAAAUUGAUUGUCCUGAACCAUGUGUCUGUCUGUUUACGGAGAGAGAAACUGUGAUGAAUUAAUCCACAGGUCCAAUGGGACUUUGACUUAAUUUGUAGAAAUAAAAUUUGCUUUUGAUUUUGUCA